rnacentral:rRNA from 1 species
GAGUUUGAUCCUGGCUCAGAACGAACGCUGGCGGCGUGGAUAAGACAUGCAAGUCGAACGGGCUUAAUUCCGGAGCAAUUCGGAGUUGAGCUAGUGGCGAACGGGUGCGUAACACGUGAGUGAUCUGCCUGAAAGUGGGGGAUAGCUCGUCGAAAGGCGAAUUAAUACCGCAUGUGUCCCGAAGCAAUUCGGGGUAAAGCCGGGGCAACCUGGCGCUUUUAGAGGAACUCGCGGCCUAUCAGCUUGUUGGUGAGGUAACGGCUUACCAAGGCUACGACGGGUAGCUGGUCUGAGAGGACGACCAGCCACACUGGAACUGAGACACGGUCCAGACACCUACGGGUGGCAGCAGUCGAGAAUUUUUCUCAAUGGGGGAAACCCUGAAGGAGCGACGCCGCGUGGAGGAUGAAGGCUUUCGGGUUGUAAACUCCUGUCAUUUGGGAACAAAGCCUUACGUUAACUGCGUGGAGGUUUGAUAGUACCGAAAGAGGAAGAGACGGCUAACUCUGUGCCAGCAGCCGCGGUAAUACAGAGGUCUCAAGCGUUGUUCGGAUUCAUUGGGCGUAAAGGGUGCGUAGGUGGCGCCGUAAGUCAGGUGUGAAAUUUCGGAGCUUAACUCCGAAACUGCAUUUGAUACUGCGGUGCUUGAGGACUGGAGAGGAGACUGGAAUUUACGGUGUAGCAGUGAAAUGCGUAGAGAUCGUAAGGAAGACCAGUGGCGAAGGCGGGUCUCUGGACAGUUCCUGACACUGAGGCACGAAGGCCAGGGGAGCAAACGGGAUUAGAUACCCCGGUAGUCCUGGCAGUAAACGGUGCACGUUUGGUGUGGGGGGAUUCGACCCCUUCUGCGCCGGAGCUAACGCGUUAAGUCCUGCACCUGGGGAGUACGGUCGCAAGACUGAAACUCAAAGGAAUUGACGGGGGCCCGCACAAGCGGUGGAACAUGUGGUUCAAUUCGACGCUACGCGAGGAACCUUACCUGGGCUCGAAAUGCUAGUGACCAGCUGUAGAAAUACGGCCUUCCCGCAAGGGACACUAGUAUAGGCGCUGCAUGGCUGUCGUCAGCUCGUGCCGUGAGGUGUUGGGUUAAGUCCCGCAACGAGCGCAACCCCUGCACACAGUUACUACUCGCAAGAGAGGACUCUGUGUGGACUGCUCCGGAUAACGGAGAGGAAGGUGGGGAUGACGUCAAGUCCGCAUGGCCUUUAUGUCCAGGGCUACACACGUGUUACAAUGCAGGGCACAAACCGUUGCCAACCCGCGAGGGGGAGCUAAUCGGAAAAAACUCUGCUCAGUUCGGAUUGCAGUCUGCAACUCGACUGCAUGAAGCCGGAAUCGCUAGUAAUCGUGGAUCAGCCACGCCACGGUGAUACGUUCCAGGGCAUUGCACACAC